rnacentral:rRNA from 1 species
AACGAACGCUGGCGGCCGGCCUAACACAUGCAAGUCGAGCGAAGCCUUCGGGCUUAGCGGCGGACGGGUGAGUAACGCGUGGGAACGUGCCCUUUGGUACGGAAUAGCCCCGGGAAACUGGGAGUAAUACCGUAUGUGGUCGAGAGACGAAAGAUUUAUCGCCAAAGGAUCGGCCCGCGUUGGAUUAGGCGGUUGGUGGGGUAAUGGCCUACCAAGCCGACGAUCCAUAGCUGGUUUGCGAGGAUGACCAGCCACACUGGGACUGAGACACGGCCCAGACUCCUGCGGGAGGCAGCAGUGGGGAAUCUUAGACAAUGUGGGAAACCCUGAUCUAGCGAUGCCGCGUGAUCGAUGAAGGCCUUAGGGUUGUAAAGAUCUUUCAGUGGGGAAGAUAAUGACUGUACCCACAGGAGAAGCCCCUGCUAACUCCGUGCCAGCAGCCGCCGCCGUAA